rnacentral:rRNA from 1 species
UGGGGAAUUUUGGACAAUGGGCGAAAGCCUGAUCCAGCAAUGCCGCGUGCAGGAUGAAGGCUUUCGGGUUGUAAACUGCUUUUGUACGGAGCGAAAAGGUCUGCCCUAAUACGGUGGGCUCAUGACGGUACCGUAAGAAUAAGCACCGGCUAACUACGUGCCAGCAGCCGCGGUAAUACGUAUGGUGCGAGCGUUAAUCGGAAUUACUGGGCGUAAAGCGUGCGCAGGCGGUUAUGCAAGACAGAGGUGAAAUCCCCGGGCUCAACCUGGGAACUGCCUUUGUGACUGCAUAGCUAGAGUACGGUAGAGGGGGAUGGAAUUCCGCGUGUAGCAGUGAAAUGCGUAGAUAUGCGGAGGAACACCGAUGGCGAAGGCAAUCCCCUGGACCUGUACUGACGCUCAUGCACGAAAGCGUGGGGAGCAAACA